UACGGAAGGCAGCAGUGGGGAAUAUUGCACAAUGGGCGAAAGCCUGAUGCAGCUAUGCCGCGUGUAUGAAGAAGGCCUUAGGGUUGUAAAGUACUUUCAUCGGGGAGGAAAAACAAAACUAAUAAUUUUAUUUCUUGACGUUACCCGAAAAAGAAGCACCGGCUAACUCCGUGCCAGCAGCCGCGGUAAUACGGAGGGUGCUAGCGUUAAUCAGAAUUACUGGGCGUAAAGAGCACGUAGGUGGUUUUUUUAAGUCAGAUGUGAAAUCCCUGGGCUUAACCUAGGAACUGCAUUUUGAAACUGAAAUACUAGAGUAUCGUAGAGGGAGGUAGAAUUCUAGGUGUAGCGGUGAAAUGCGUAGAUAUCUGGAGGAAUACCUGUGGCAAAGCGGCCUCCUAAACGAAUACUGACACUGAGGUGCGAAAGCGUGGGGAGCAAACAGGGAUUAGAUACCCGU
rnacentral:rRNA from 1 species